GAGCCGUGAGGAGUGUUGUGUCCCUUUGAUAUGGUUGUGUCCCUUACGACAUCUGAUCAAUAUGGAUGAAUGCUAGCGCUUCUGAGUUC